rnacentral:sRNA from 1 species
CCCCUCCGUCUGUCUGUCUGCUGUUGGCUUUGUCCGUCUGCAGCGCCGCCCCUCGGCUCCCCGCCACCGGCUCGGCCCGGAGCCCCUUCCGCUCGCCGGGGCCCAGUCCCGGAGCGCCCCGGCCCGGCUGGCUUGGGCUGCGGUCCCGGGUCCAUUGUCCGGCGGUCCGUCUGUCCGGAGGCGGGGCCCAGGGACCCAGAGCGCAGCGCAGCGCGGAGGCGCCGGAUACAGAUCACUUGGAUUCAGUCGAGUUUGCUUUGCUCCGUGGGAACUGCACCAGAGCUGGAGCUUAGCAUCUUGCAAGGAAGUAGUAACAUAUCCAGUCGUGAAACUGGGAAAGACCAGAGCUGUUGCAUCAGGGAAACAUGUCCCGUCGGAAACAGACAAAUCCAAAUAAAGUUCACUGUGAGUAUCGGGCUUUGUCUUCUGGAACCU